rnacentral:rRNA from 1 species
UACGUAGGGCGCAAGCGUUAUCCGGAAUUAUUGGGCGUAAAGAGCUCGUAGGCGGUUUGUCGCGUCUGCCGUGAAAGUCCGGGGCUCAACUCCGGAUCUGCGGUGGGUACGGGCAGACUAGAGUGAUGUAGGGGAGACUGGAAUUCCUGGUGUAGCGGUGAAAUGCGCAGAUAUCAGGAGGAACACCGAUGGCGAAGGCAGUGUUCUGGGCCAAAACUGACGCUGAGGAGCGAAAGCGUGGGGAGCGAACAGG